GGUUAAUAUGAAAAACUAUCUACCAACCAGAGUAUCACCGGAGUUACUUGUGUCGCUCUGAGAGAAAAUGACAAAACCGGAUCACCGGAAACACACGCUGUUCUAGACCGAACGUUCCCGUCAGAAAGUUCCUUCAGAUUCCUUUAAAUGCCGAAUGGGUUGGAUCUCUCCAUCUACAGUCCUAAAACGGUAAAAAUUUGUACUCUUAUCGCUUGUGGUUUAUGCACUGGAGAUGUUCGAUGAAAUGCCUGAGUGAGAGUUACGGUUCCAAAGAGUUGGGGUGAUGUUCUAUAAGGCGUUUGGGUCUUGUGAAUGCUUCCAGGGAUUUGAUAGAAGGGCUUAUCAGGAAUUGAGCUUUGAGGCUCCAGCAAACUCAUGCGCUUGUUAUGGUGUAUGUGCCUAUGCGGACCCAUUGGGUUGUGUGUGACACAAGUUCCUCCAAAAUGUAAAUAUUUUGAAGGAUUUAUACCAAAAUAUACUGAGAAGUUGUAAAGAAGAAAUUGGACCGGUGGUUGUGUAAGGCGUACCCAACUAAACUGGAACCAGGAUCUAAUGGACGCAGUGCAAUUUUCUGCAGGAGGAGAACUUCUUUUCAGUCGUCUUGCACAAUCUGCACUAAGACUAGCUUCAUAAAUUUCCGGUGUAAUAAGUUCAAGAAAACCAUUGCUGCUGGUAUUGUGAGCCUUUCUCUAUCUGUUCUACUGGGUUCUGCUGUGUUUGGUUUCAUGAGAUUCUGAGUGAAACAUAAUGGUAACACACUUAUUAUUCAUUUCUUUGCUAUAACGUAACAAGUACUAGAUGUUAAGCACUAAAUCGAAUUCUAAUUCAAAUUUCAGCAUCUAUAUAUGUUUUAAGCAUCAGAAGUAAAUAAUUCCACAACCGUGUUAUAAUAUCCUAACCAGUUUGCUUAAUUCUUGCAAAUACCAACCAUUAAUCCUAAAAAGUUUUUCUUUUGCCAUUGACACAGUCAUUUCUUACAAAACACGAAUAUGUUUACACACGGUGUUACAAUACGAAGAAGCCAAUUGUAGCAAAGAGACAGGAAGAUUUUAAGAUACAAGAGACAUACAACACACAAAGGAUGAUGAUCACCUCAGUGGAACUUGAGGCUGGUCAAGACGUUGUUGUUGACGGGAUCCGCCAAGUGAUCAAGCAGGUUCUGGUAAGGCCCCACUCCGG